GAGCAAGAUGGUCGAUAAAAAAAGUCACAGCUUGCCUUGAAGGUUGGCAAAAACAAAAUAACGAUGAUUCUCUGUGUGUUAAAAAAAUAAAUAAAUA